CAAUAGCGUAUAUUAAAGUUGUUGCAGUUAAAAAGCUCGUAGUUGGAUCUGUGGUGUGCGGUGGGCUCCGGGCACUUGUUGUCUGAGUAGCUCGCCGCUGCCAUCCUUGGGUGGAACCCGUGUGGCAUUAGGUUGUCGUGCAGGGGAUGCCCAUCGUUUACUGUGAAAAAAUUAGAGUGUUCAAAGCAGGCUUAUGCCGUUGAAUAUAUUAGCAUGGAAUAAUGAGAUAGGACUUUUUCGCUAUUUUGUUGGUUUGCGCGAAGAGGUAAUGAUUAAUAGGGACAGUUGGGGGUAUUCGUAUUCCAUUGUCAGAGGUGAAAUUCUUGGAUUUUUGGAAGACGAACUACUGCGAAAGCAUUUACCAAGGAUGUUUUCAUUAA
rnacentral:rRNA from 1 species